rnacentral:tRNA from 1 species
GAGGGUAUAGCUCAAUGGUAGAGCAAAUGCUUAGUAUGCACGAGCUCCUGGGUUCAAUCCUCAGUUCCUCCA